ACGUAGGGUCCAAGCGUUAAUCGGAAUUACUGGGCGUAAAGCGUGCGUAGGCGGCUUCGCAAGUCCGAUGUGAAAUCCCCGGGCUUAACCUGGGAACUGCGUUGGAAACUAUGAAGCUAGAGUGCGGCAGAGGGGGGUGGAAUUCCAGGUGUAGCAGUGAAAUGCGUAGAUAUCUGGAGGAACACCGAUGGCGAAGGCAGCCCCCUGGGCUAGCACUGACGCUCAUACACGAAAGCGUGGGGAGCAAACAGGAUUAGAUACCCUGGUAGUCCACGCCCUAAACGAUGGCAACUAGUUGUUGGAGGAUGAACUCCUUUAGUAACGCAGCUAACGCGUGAAGUUGCCCGCCUGGGGAGUACGGUCGCAAGAUUA
rnacentral:rRNA from 1 species